AGGUCCGGCUGGGGAGCGGAACGGCAUGGGAGGGCCGGCCGCAGCGGGUGACAGCCCCGUACGCGAACCCAGACCGGACGGCGCGACGCGGUCCCUGAGUAGGGCCGGGCACGUGAAACCCGGUCCGAACCUGGGUGGACCACCAUCCAAGCCUGAGUACUACCCUGUGACCGAUAGCGCACCAGUACCGUGAGGGAAAGGUGAAAAGCACCCCGGGAGGGGAGUGAAACAGUACCUGAAACCGUGCGCCCACGAGCAGUCGGAGCACCUUUUAAGGUGUGACGGCGUGCCUUUUGUAGAAUGAGCCAGCGAGUCGCUGGCGCGGGGCGAGGUUAACCGAAAGGGAGCCGGAGCGAAAGCGAGCCUUAACAGGGCGACUUGAGUCCCGCGCCGCGGACGCGAAGCCGGGUGAGCUAUCCGUGGGCAGGCUGAAGCGGGGGUAAGACCCCGUGGAGGGCCGAACGCACGUCGGUUGAAAACGGCGGCGAUGACCUGCGGAUAGGGGUGAAAGGCCAAUCAAACCCGGAGAUAUCUCGUUCUCCCCGAAAUAGCUUUAGGGCUAGCGUCGCGCGUUCACCGCCGGAGGUAGAGCACCGGAUGGACGAGGGGGCUUCGCCGCCUACCGAAUCCAACCGAACUCCGAAUGCCGGCGGCCCAGAGCGCGGCAGUCAGAGCAUGUGGGCUAAGCUGUGUGCUCGAGAGGGAAACAGCCCGGACCGCCCGCUAAGGUCCCCAAGUUCCAGCCGAGUGGCAAAGGAUGUGCGUCCGCCCAGACAACCAGGAUGUUGGCUUAGAAGCAGCCAUCCAUUCAAAGAGUGCGUAACAGCUCACUGGUCGAGUGGACAUGCGCCGACAAUACACGGGGCUAAGCUGGACACCGAAGCGGCGGGAUUUUAAUUCAUUAGAAUCGGUAGGGGAGCUUCCCAUGGGCGGAGAAGCCGGAGGGCGACCGACGGUGGAGCGCAUGGGAGUGAGAAUGCUGGCAUGAGUAGCGAGAGACGAGAGAGUAACUCGUCCGCCGUGAACCCGAGGUUUCCUGGGCAAGGCUAAUCCUCCCAGGGUCAGUCGGGGGCUAAGGCGAGGCCGGGAGGCGUAGCCGACGCGCAGCAGGCAGACAUUCCUGCACCGCGCACGCGGCGCUACGACCGACGGGGCGACGGAUGGGGGUGGCUCGGCGGGGUUCUGGACGUCCCCGUGAUGGAGCGCGGCCCGCGGACCAGGGAAAUCCGGUCCGCAGAAGGGCGAGGCUCCGGACGAAGCGAUUGAGCGAAGCGAGUGAGCCCGAGGUCCCUAGAAAAACCCCUAGGCAGGCGCGUGCGCGCCCGUACCGCAAACCGACACAGGUGGGUGGGUAGAACAUACCGAGGCGAUCGGGUCAACCAUGGUCAAGGAACUCGGCACAAUGGCCCCGUAACUUCGGGAGAAGGGGUGCCCGCGCGUACGUGAACCGGCUCGCCCGGGGAGCGGAGGCGGGCCGCAGUGGAGAGGCCCAAGCGACUGUUUACCAAAAACACAGGACUCUGCAGAAGCCGCAAGGCGACGUAUAGGGUCUGACGCCUGCCCGGUGCCGGAAGGUCACGCGGAGGAGUUAGCCGUCUCGGCGAAGCCCCGAAGCCAAGCCCCGGUAAACGGCGGCCGUAACUAUAACGGUCCUAAGGUAGCGAAAUUCCUUGUCGGGUAAGUUCCGACCUGCACGAAAGGCGCAACGACUUGGGCGCUGUCUCGACCAUGGACCCGGUGAAAUUGCACUGGUCGUGAAGAUGCGACUUACCCGCGGAAGGACGGAAAGACCCCGUGAACCUUCACUGCAGCUUGGCAUUGGCCGCUGGUCCCGCGUGUAGAGGAUAGGCAGGAGGCACAGAUCCGGAGGCGCCAGCCCCCGGGGAGCCGCCCUUGGAAUACUGCCCUCGCGCGACCGGCGUCCUAACCCGAGGCCGUCAACCGGCUCGGGGACCGUGCCAGGCGGGCAGUUUGACUGGGGCGGUCGCCUCCUAAAGGGUAACGGAGGCGCGCGAAGGUCCGCUCGGGACGGUCGGCAACCGUCCUUUUGAAUGCAAGAGUACAAGCGGGCUUGACUGCGAGGCCCACAAGCCGAGCAGGUGCGAAAGCAGGCUCUAGUGAUCCGGCGGCCCCGAGUGGGUGGGCCGUCGCUCAACGGAUAAAAGGUACUCCGGGGAUAACAGGC
rnacentral:rRNA from 1 species